rnacentral:lncRNA from 1 species
AAGUUUAGAGAGAUGAAGAAUAAGAACUUAUAUCUCAAAAUUACAGAGAGACUCUCAAGAUCUACUACGAAAUCUACCAAAACACUUUGAUCAGAACCAAGAACCAACAAUAACCAGAAUCACAUAGAUUUCCAAAUAUUCACACAGAAUGUGACACAAACGAAGGAUUAUUGUAUCAAUCUUAACUUAAAAUCAGAAAUUUUAAGAAGAAAAACAAGAAGGUAAAAUCAUCUCUUUUCUCUAUUUUUCUUUCACUUUUUC